UGGGGAAUUGUUCACAAUGGGCGCAAGCCUGAUGACGCAACGCCGCGUGGGGGAUGAAGGUCUUCGGAUUGUAAACCCCUGUCGAAUGGGACGAAAGACUCGCGAGUUAAUACUGCGCGAGAGUGACGGUACCGUUAAAGGAAGCCACGGCUAACUCUGUGCCAGCAGCCGCGGUAAUACAGAGGUGGCAAGCGUUGUUCGGAAUUACUGGGCGUAAAGGGCGCGUAGGCGGCCUACUAAGUCAGACGUGAAAUCCCCCGGCUUAACCUGGGAACUGCGUCUGAUACUGGAAGGCUUGAGGAUGGGAGAGGGAUGUAGAAUUCCAGGUGUAGCGGUGAAAUGCGUAGAUAUCUGGAGGAAUACCGGUGGCGAAGGCGGCAUCCUGGACCAUUACUGACGCUGAGGCGCGAAAGCUAGGGGAGCAAACGG
rnacentral:rRNA from 1 species